rnacentral:rRNA from 1 species
UACGGGAGGCAGCAGUGGGGAAUAUUGCACAAUGGGCGAAAGCCUGAUGCAGCUAUGCCGCGUGUAUGAAGAAGGCCUUAGGGUUGUAAAGUACUUUCAUCGGGGAGGAAAAAACAAAACUAAUAAUUUUAUUUCUUGACGUUACCCGAAAAAGAAGCACCGGCUAACUCCGUGCCAGCAGCCGCGGUAAUACGGAGGGUGCUAGCGUUAAUCAGAAUUACUGGGCGUAAAGAGCACGUAGGUGGUUUUUUUAAGUCAGAUGUGAAAUCCCUGGGCUUUAACCUAGGAACUGCAUUUUGAAACUGAAAUACUAGAGUAUCGUAGAGGGAGGUAGAAUUCUAGGUGUAGCGGUGAAAUGGCGUAGAUAUCUGGAGGAAUACCUGUGGCGAAAGCGGCCUCCUAAACGAAUACUGACACUGAGGGUGCGAAAGCGUGGGGAGCAAACGAGGGAUUUAGAUACC